UGGAUUGCCUAGACCAGGGAAGCCAGUUGGCAUGGCUCAGUCCAAGUCUGACCACCUGAGGAAUGCCUGGACUGAGCCGUGCUACUGGCUUCCCUGGUCUCCAGC
ensembl:miRNA MIR1269A microRNA 1269a